rnacentral:rRNA from 1 species
AUGUGUAGGAUAGGUGGGAGGCUUUGAAGUGUGGACGCCAGUCUGCAUGGAGCCGACCUUGAAAUACCACCCUUUAAUGUUUGAUGUUCUAACGUUGACCCGUGAUCCGGGUUGCGGACAGUGUCUGGUGGGUAGUUUGACUGGGGCGGUCUCCUCCUAAAGAGUAACGGAGGAGCACGAAGGUUGGCUAAUCCUGGUCGGACAUCA